UACAGAGGUCUCAAGCGUUGUUCGGAUUCAUUGGGCGUAAAGGGUGCGUAGGUGGCGCCAUAAGUCAGGUGUGAAAUCUCGGGGCUCAACCUCGAAACUGCACUUGAUACUGUGGUGCUUGAGUACUGGAGAGGAGAUUGGAAUUUACGGUGUAGCAGUGAAAUGCGUAGAUAUCGUAAGGAAGACCAGUGGCGAAGGCGGGUCUCUGGACAGUUCCUGACACUGAGGCACGAAGGCCAGGGGAGCAAACGGG
rnacentral:rRNA from 1 species